ACUUGAGAUGCUCUUACCUCAGCCUCCCGAGUACUGGGAUUACAAGCAUAACUCAGCACACCUGGCCUGGCUAUUUGAUAAUGACUUGUAAGAACUUUUUGUAUAUUUUAGAAAUUGGCUCUUUGUGAUAGAGUUGAAUAUAUUCCCUUUCUUCCUUCUGGUUUAUCAUUUGACUUUUGGUUUUCCUUUUGUGGUUUUUGCUACAUAGAAUUUUUUUAUCUUUAUAUGAUUGGAUUUCUUAAUUUGUGUUUCCUUUUUCAAUGAAUAACAUUAAAAUCUGGCAUUCAGUGGAACCACCAUUUGACCCAGCUAUUCCCCUUCUUAGACUAUACCCAAAAGACCUAAAAAGAGCAUACUACAGGGACACAGCCACAUCAAUGUUUAUAGCAGCACAAUUCACAAUAGCUAGAAUGUGGAACCAACCUAGAUGCCCUUCAAUAGAUGAAUGGAUUUUAAAAAGUGGCAUUUAUACACAAUGGAAUAUUACUCAGCACUAAAAAAUACAAGAUCAUGGCAUUUGCAGGCAAAUGGAUGGCAUUAGAGCAGAUUAUGCUAAAUGACAUUAGCCAAUCCCUAAAAAACAAAUGCUGAAUGUCUUCUCUGAUAUAAAGGGGGUGACUCAAAAUGGGAUAGGGAGGAAGAGCAUGAGAAGAAGACUACCACU
rnacentral:lncRNA from 1 species